GGGGGGGGUCAAGGGAGAACUUGAAGGGGGCAGGGCAGAAGGGACCCCCGGAACCCUGCCGCCAUCAGAGAUCAAGCAUUUGGCAUCAGGGAUCUUCGGACCCAGCAAAAGGAUCAGCCACAAGGGAGGUGUCCUCCCUAGGAAGCCAACGAGAGAGUCACCUGCCCCACAUCAGGAGCAGGGACCCCCUCAUGACGCUGCUGGCAACUAUAGCAGGCCCCUAGCCCCUCAGCCUCCUUCCUAUCUCCUUCUUCUGACUCUUAUUCCAUCUCCUUUGGCAUUUGUGCCUUUGCUCCCCGCCCUCUGAGCUCCAGCUACCACCCAAACGCCCCAGGGCUUGGCUGCCCUGACCCUCAUCCUGGAAUAUUUGCCAGAUCUCUGGGAGGGAGAUCCUUUGCUUGGGCUAUGCCCCCUGGGGGUCUGACAGUGUCUGCCUAGACCCCUGACCCCUAGCCCUCAACUCCCCACGACUCCUUUGUGUGAAGAGCCCUCCUCUGCUCAGCACUGUGGUUGGGGGCCAAAGGGAAAGCCGGCCCUGCUGGGCCCCUGGGCCCUACCACCUGCCUCCUGGUUGGGCAGCUUCCCUUGUCUUUGGGCCUCUCCCUGUUCCCCCGGCCCCUCCUCCUGGGCCGCCCCAAUGAAGGAGCCGGAUGCCAUCAAGCUGUUUGUGGGGCAGAUCCCGAGGCAUCUGGAGGAAAAGGACCUGAAGCCCAUCUUCGAGCAGUUUGGUCGGAUCUUCGAGCUGACUGUCAUCAAGGACAAGUACACCGGGCUGCACAAGGGAUGUGCUUUCCUGACGUACUGUGCUCGCGAUUCAGCCCUGAAGGCCCAGAGUGCCCUGCACGAACAGAAGACUCUCCCAGGGAUGAACAGGCCGAUCCAGGUCAAGCCAGCCGACAGCGAGAGUCGAGGAGAAGACCGGAAGCUCUUUGUGGGGAUGCUAGGAAAGCAGCAGACAGAUGAGGAUGUCCGGAAGAUGUUUGAACCGUUUGGGACUAUAGACGAGUGCACUGUGCUCCGGGGGCCAGACGGGACCAGCAAAGGCUGUGCCUUUGUGAAGUUCCAGACUCAUGCUGAGGCCCAGGCAGCCAUUAACACUCUUCACAGCAGCCGGACUCUACCGGGUGCCUCAUCCAGCCUGGUGGUAAAGUUUGCUGACACAGAGAAGGAGCGAGGUCUCCGCCGGAUGCAGCAGGUGGCUACCCAGCUGGGCAUGUUCAGCCCUAUCGCCCUCCAGUUUGGAGCCUACAGCGCCUACACCCAGGCCCUGAUGCAGCAGCAGGCGGCCCUGGUAGCAGCUCACAGUGCCUACCUCAGCCCUAUGGCCACCAUGGCUGCCGUGCAGAUGCAGCACAUGGCUGCCAUCAAUGCCAAUGGCCUCAUCGCCACCCCCAUCACUCCAUCCUCAGGAACCAGCACCCCUCCUGCCAUUGCUGCCACGCCGGUCUCUGCCAUUCCUGCUGCCUUGGGCGUCAACGGCUACAGCCCAGUGCCCACCCAGCCCACGGGGCAGCCUGCCCCUGAUGCUCUCUAUCCCAACGGGGUUCACCCUUACCCAGACGAGGCUCUGUCUGCUGAGAGAAGUGCUGGUGAGGCUCCCAUUAUGCCCCAGACCCACUCAUGGCUUGUGAUGCUCUCUGCAGCCCAGAGCCCUGCAGCCCCUGUGGACCCUCUCCAGCAGGCCUACGCAGGAAUGCAGCACUACACAGCAGCCUACCCUGCAGCCUACAGCCUGGUUGCACCUGCGUUCCCGCAGCCUCCAGCCCUGGUCGCCCAGCAGCCCCCACCACCACCUCAGCAGCAACAGCAGCAGCAGCAGCAACAGCAGCAGCAGCAGCAGCAGCAACAGCAGCAGCAGCAGCAGCGGGAAGGCCCUGAUGGCUGUAACAUCUUCAUCUACCACCUGCCCCAGGAGUUCACAGACUCCGAGAUCCUCCAGAUGUUUGUCCCUUUUGGUCAUGUCAUCUCAGCCAAAGUCUUUGUUGACCGGGCCACCAAUCAGAGCAAAUGUUUUGGCUUUGUGAGUUUCGACAAUCCGGCCAGUGCCCAGGCUGCCAUCCAGGCUAUGAACGGUUUCCAGAUUGGCAUGAAGCGCCUCAAAGUCCAGCUAAAGCGGCCUAAGGAUGCAAACAGACCCUACUAAGGGCUUCAGGUGGGUGCUGCUCUUGUUCUGUGACUUCAGUGUCAGGCUUCACACACUGCAGCCAGACCCCUUAGGUAAAUGUCCCACCCUUCCACUACCACCCACCUCACCCUGAUGCUAGACAUGAGGAUUGAAAUCCGGGCCACUCCCCCCACUACAGUUGUGUCUCCCACCCACAUAUGCCUCUGUGUGUGCAUAUGUACGUGCACGUGCACGUGCGCGCGCGCGUACACACACACACACACACACACACACACACACACACACACACACACACACACAAAAGCAUCCCAGAGAGAUCCAAGUCUACACCUGUGUCUACUGGAGUUUUCCACAGUAUCUGGUCUUGUUUGUCUGGUCAGCGUUCAUGUGUCUGUGUCUUUCUCUUUCUGGUUUUCUUUUGGGUGGAUGGAAUUGGUAAGAGUAGGUUUUGGGGGCUAGGAGGCUGGUUUGGAGAACUGGAGGGUUGUAGAGCCUCUUGGUUUUGAGACCUGUUCUCCAGAGAAGUGGAGACAGAUCGGUUCCCAUUGCCCUGAACUGCAGCUGAUUUCCCAGGGCCGCAGCAGAACACAGUGCAGGUGGGAGUGGGCGUGGUUUUGCUUAGUGGAGGAAGUGGAAUUGUACUAAGUAGCCCUCAGCCCACUGUAGGCUGCCACCCAACCUUGGGGCACAGACCUGUAGCCCUACUUACCUUUGAUUUGUUUAAUCUCCCUUGGCCCAAACCUUGAAAAAUCACAACCCAAGAACAAUACCCACAUUUCUGUUUCUCCCCUUUCCCCCCAAUCCUGGCUGCUUAACUCCCCCCACCCUGGGGGCCCUCAGCCCAGGGUCCGUGUCAUUGUCGGCUGAAGCCCCCAUCCCGGACCCCUGCUCCGGGCCCCUGUCUGGAGAUACCAGAGGAAGGGGCACUUCGUACCCUCUUCCUAUGACUGGCCCUGGCCUUCUCUGCACAUCUGCCCUGGGCCUUGAUUGGACUUGGGGCAAAAGCUGCUUCAUGGCCCAAAGGGCCUAGGACCUGGCUCAUUCCCACCAUCUUGCCUCUCUGGAGGGCCAGUUUUGCCUCCCUGCCUCCAAGAGCCUAUUUCCUCCCCGGUGCCCUUUUGGCCUUUUGUGAGGAAGUGAGGAAUAGGCUUGAAGGUUCAGGGGCAUCUGCCUUCUGCUAAGGCUCCUGAGAUGAGCUCUGUAACCACUGUUCACACUUGCCUCCCCUCAGUGGGCCUGAAGUAGCUGUGGAGGCCCAGGAGGACAGCAGGGCAUUCUCUUUCCCAAGCGCCCUCACCUAGCCUCUCCUCCACGGCUCGGCCUUCUCAGAAGCUGGCUCCCACAUUCCCCUCCACCCUCACCUAGAGGUAGGAUAUCUCCAAAUCCCGGGCUCCCAGCCCUAAAACUCACUGCCUUCCCCAAGGGCCCCCUCCAAGGAGGAUGUGGGGGCCCUGAGGGCUGCCUCUCUGCCAGUCAGUCACAGAGACCCUUUUUUCAUGAGGAAAAGACCUUCCCCUGAAUCCCUAAAAAUGUUUACAGUCUCUGCUGGCCCUCCAUGUAAAUACCAUGAGCACCAGGGCAUUAACUAGCCCACCCAGCCAGACGCUGCCAUCUCUCUUUCUGAGAGUUUAGACAAUGUUACCCUUGGAUUCUUUUUUUUUUUUUUUCCCUCUCUUGAUUUUUCUCCCUUUGCUUUGGGGGUAAUUGGGUAUUUUGGGGGAAGGGUACCGGGAGGGCUAAAGGGGUUUAUUACCUGAUCAUUUUCUUUAGGAAGAGGUUUUAGAGAGAAGAACAUGGGGUGGGAGUGGGAGGUGAAGGGCGAGAAGGGGAAAUCAAUCUCUGACACUUCUCUACACUUAACUUAUUUACUGAGUUUUACUUUUAAAGAGUUGGCCUUUUCUGUCUAAAUAAAGAAAAACAUUUGAAAGCAUCAA